rnacentral:rRNA from 1 species
GACGAACGCUGGCGGCGUGCCUAACACAUGCAAGUCGAGCGAUUCUCUUCGGAGAAGAGCGGCGGACGGGUGAGUAACGCGUGGGUAACCUGCCCUGUACACACGGAUAACAUACCGAAAGGUAUGCUAAUACGAGAUAAUAUGCUUUUAUCGCAUGGUAGAAGUAUCAAAGCUUUUGCGGUACAGGAUGGACCCGCGUCUGAUUAGCUAGUUGGUAGGUAACGGCUUACCAAGGCGACGAUCAGUAGCCGACCUGAGAGGGUGAUCGGCCACAUUGGAACUGAGACGCGGUCCAAACUCCUACGGGAGGCAGCAGUGGGGAAUAUUGCACAAUGGGCGAAAGCCUGAUGCAGCAACGCCGCGUGAGCGAUGAAGGCCUUCGGGUCGUAAAGCUCUGUCCUCAAGGAAGAUAAUGACGGUACUUGAGGAGGAAGCCCCGGCUAACUACGUGCCAGCAGCCGCAGUAAAAC